rfam:Ciona savignyi cont_35556, whole genome shotgun sequence.
GUCUUUGCGCAGUGGCAGUAACAUAGCUGAUGAGGUUCAUCUGAGGCGUGUUUAUUGCUAGUUGAAAACU